rnacentral:rRNA from 1 species
AGCUAAUACAUGCUAAAAACCUCGACUUCGGAAGGGGUGUAUUUAUUAGAUAAAAAACCAAUGCCCUUCGGGGCUCCUUGGUGAUUCAUAGUAACUUAACGAAUCGCAUGGCCUUGCGCCGGCAAUGGUUCAUUCAAAUUUCUGCCCUAUCAACUUUCAAUGGUAAGGUAGUGGCUUACCAUGGUCUCAACGGGUAACGGGGAAUUAGGGUUCUAUUCCGGAAAGGGAGCCUGAAAAACGUAAGUUCCUACCCCUCUCCUCUUUUGUCGUUUAUGUUCCCCUGGGAAUUGUCACCGAUGGCUUCAUAUUGUUAGCUUAUCUUAUGAUAUUCUUAACUAAAUAUGUGCUCCGAUGACAAUGUCUUAAGGGGUGGUGAUAUCCUUGAACAUUUUCACCAAUUUUUUGAAAUUUUACUAAUUCUUUUUUUAGGGCUACCACAUCCAAGGAAGGCAGCAGGCGCGCAAAUUACCCAAUCCCAAUACGGGGAGGUAGUGACAAUAAAUACUGAUACGGGGCUCUUUCGGGUCUCGUAAUUGGAAUGAGUACAAUCUAAAUCCCUUAACGAGGAACAAUUGGAGGGCAAGUCUGGUGCCAGCAGCCGCGGUAAUUCCAGCUCCAAUAGCGUAUAUUAAAGUUGUUGCCGUUAAAAAGCUCGUAGUUGAACCUUGGACCUGGCUGAUCUGUCCUCCUAAUCGAGCGUACGGAUUCGGCCGGGUCUUUUCUUCUGGGGAGCCUUAUGCCCUUUACUGGGUGUAAUGGGGAACCAGGACUUUUACCUUGAAAAAAUUAGAGUGUUCAAAGCAGGCCUUUGCUCGAAUACAUUAGCAUGGAAUAAUAGAAUAGGACAUCGGUUCUAUUUUGUUGGUUUCUAGGACCGCUGUAAUGAUUAAUAGGGAUAGUCGGGGGCGUCCGUAUUCAAUUGUCAGAGGUGAAAUUCUUGGAUUUAUUGAAGACGAACUACUGCGAAAGCAUUCGCCAAGGAUGUUUUCAUUAAUCAGUGAACGAAAGUUAGGGGAUCGAAGACGAUCAGAUACCGUCGUAGUCUUAACCAUAAACUAUGCCGACUAGGGAUCGGNNNNNNNNNNNNNNNNNNNNNNNNNNNNNNNNNNNNNNNNNNNNNNNNNNAUUGACGGAAGGGCACCACAAGGCGUAAACAGCCGUAGUUAACUCUGCGCCUGAAAGGCACCUAGACAUAAAAUAGGUCGUGGACAGUCCUCCACCUCUGGUGGGAAAAAGCCUAGUUAAAUCUUACUGCUUCCCUGGUAGUGAACAGGGCCUGCUGUGGUAAGAUUGGCGAGACCGUCAAAUUGCGGGGAAGCUUCAUAACCACUGACUACCGCUAGCUAGUCCGAAAGGUUGGCUCAGCACCCGGGUAAUGCCCAGGGGUAUGGUCAUAAUGUUAGUGGCGAAGUUAUCCGCAGCUAAGCUCCUACGGGGCGGUAAAUCUUUUAUUGCCUACGGAGAAAGUUCAGAGACUAGACGGCGGUCGGUCCCAAUGGGAACAUUGGGGAAAGAGUUUUUAUAAAUGUAAAGCCGGUGCCAUCAAACGUAAUCAUCCUCUUGAAGAAUGAUACUGGGGCUGUAGAUUGAAUUAACAAUCUUAACAAGCUUUAAAUUCUCUUUUCUACCAGUUCCAUAAUGGGGCUUAAGGUAUAGUCCGCUUACUACAUUGCAUGUGCAACCGUUAAUAAAUGGGAGCCUGCGGCUUAAUUUGACUCAACACGGGGAAACUCACCAGGUUAACAUCAUUGUCUGGGCCUGGAAUAGUAUUUGCUACGUAGGUGGCAAUAGCUAGUACACCGUUCCUUUACUGCAUGGAGAAGCCUCCAUAUUUCGGGUGCAGGGCAGCAGACUUUCAGUAGUUCUGUUGUUGAACGGGUGCGACACCAGCUGGUACAGGGAACGCCCUCUUUCGUGAUCACCUUGAUUGUGAAGUGGCCGAUCCUGUGGCGAGUCAGGGUAGCGCCUGGCCGUCGCAACGCGCGCUAAGCGGUGGGCAGAUAUAGGUCUGCUUAAGGUACGUGCUGACCCACGGGAUGAUAAACCGUGCUAUGGAGUUGAGGGCCGAAAGCAACCAAAGCUCCAUAGGCAUGCAGUGUUUUUCUCGCCUGCAUGCGGGUUUGCGAUUAAAUUCGCAGGCGAAUUCGCCAGACAUGCUUAGGAUUGACAGAUUGAUAGCUCUUUCUUGAUUGUAUGGGUGGUGGUGCAUGGCCGUUCUUAGUUGGUAAGUUUUAAACCUUCAUGUUUUCUACAUAAAGAUAUUGCGUUCGAUACCUCGUGGGGCAUUAAGAUACUAGCUCAAAACAUACAUCUUAUCUGCUUGAACUAGUUAUCUUUACCACACGGGGUGUCAGGCGCAAUCCCCAUCAUUUUGUUCUCUUUCAGCGAAACUCUUUACUAACAGAUUAUUUACAGGUGGAGUGAUUUGUCUGCUUAAUUGCGAUAACGAACGAGACCUUGACCUGCUAAAUAGCCCGAUUGACUUUUGUCGGUCGCCGGCUUUUUAGAGGGACUUUUGGCUCAAGCCAAUGGAAGUACGAGGCAAUAACAGGUUAACCUUAUGGGUUACGUGCAAACCGUAUCACAGGCCUGAGGAGGGGCCUCGUACAUUGAUUCCAUAGGGGUUUAAUUGGUUCCCCGUUAUCAAAAACUACCUUCUAGUUGAUCCUCAGUCCUCCUGGUAGAAGCCUACCAUAGUCGGGGGAGGGCACCGAAAGGUGUAUGAGGCAGCGAGACAACCUGGUUCAUGGAACGGCCACUGGCCCGAUCAUGAUGCGAGCAGGAGUAGCGUCCUGCCGCGGCAACGCGUGCAAAGGUGUCGGUUCCGUUAUGAAGACGGGGCUUAAGGUACAUGCUAAUCCUCCAGGUAACUGGGGGCUGCUACGAUGAGACCCGACAGUCAAAGCGUAGCAGGCGUCUUCUCGAAGGCGUGCACGAUAUGCUGUGAUGCCCUUAGAUGUUCUGGGCUGCACGCGCGCUACACUGACAGAGCCAGCGAGUACAUCACCUUGGCCGAAAGGUCUGGGUAAUCUUGUUAAACUCUGUCGUGCUGGGGAUAGAGCAUUGCAAUUAUUGCUCUUCAACGAGGAAUGCCUAGUAAGCGCAAGUCAUCAGCUUGCGUUGAUUACGUCCCUGCCCUUUGUACACACCGCCCGUCGCUACUACCGAUUGAAUGGCUCAGUGAGGCCUUGGGACUGGCUCAGAAAGGUCGGCAACGACCAUCAGAGCCGAA